UACUCACCUUCCGCAUUUUCAUGAAUGAAUCCACUAGACGCUUAAAAUUAUCUUCCAAAAACUUGGCAGCUGUAUAGAUAAGGGUAGACCCUAUUCUGAGGCUUAAAAAGGCUAGAGAAGCACAACUUGAGUGCCAAAAGGCAGCAGUAAAAUGUAAAGAGCUAAUGACAUUUUGGAGGUGUGGUGAAUUUCUUUCAAAAGUGCUAUACCGCCAGCCGCCUUAAUUGUAAUUAUCAGUUCUAUCCAAAUACCAUUUCAAAAUAACGCACGACCAUGCAAAUACUUGUAGCGAAUAAAAAUAGAACAAAAACUCCCG